rnacentral:rRNA from 1 species
AAUAUUGGACAAUGGGGGCAACCCUGAUCCAGCCAUGCCGCGUGUGUGAAGAAGGUCUUCGGAUUGUAAAGCUCUGUUGUAAGGGAAGAACAAGUACAGGAGUAACUGUCUGUACCUUGACGGUACCUUACCAGAAAGCCACGGCUAACUACGUGCCAGCAGCCGCGGUAAUACGUAGGUGGCAAGCGUUGUCCGGAAUUACUGGGCGUAAAGGGUACGUAGGCGGCUAUAUAAGUCAGGUGUGAAAUACCAGUGCUUAACACUGGAAUUGCAUUUGAAACUGUGUAGCUUGAGUGCAGGAGAGGAAAGUGGAAUUCCUAGUGUAGCGGUGAAAUGCGUAGAGAUUAGGAGGAACACCAGUGGCGAAGGCGACUUUCUGGACUGAUACUGACACUGAGGUGCGAAAGCGUGGGGAGCAAACA